rnacentral:lncRNA from 1 species
GACAAAGCAAGUGAGCGUUUUGCUUCGUGGGCUUCAGUUUCCAAACGGUGUCUCCAUGAGCAAGGAUUACUCCUUCCUAGUGUUUGCUGAAACCACCAAUGGAAAGUAAGUGUUCGCCAUCUCGAUCUAUCUAUCUAGCUCUCUAUCCAACUUACAACUUUGCUUUGAUCCAGAUUGACUCGCUACUGGCUCAAAGGUCCCAAAGCUGGAACUCCAGAGCUCUUCGCUAUCCUGCCGGGCCACCCAGACAACGUUAGAACUAACGAAAAUGGAGAGUUUUGGGUAGCGAUACAUGCCUUGAGAAAACCCGUGAUGCGUUUCCUGGGGCCCCGUCCAAGGCUGAGAGACUUCCUCGUCAAGCUCCCAAUCCCUGCCA